rnacentral:rRNA from 1 species
GGACAAGCCCUGGAAACGGGGUCUAAUACCGGAUACGAGUUCGGGAGGCAUCUCCCGGACUGGAAAGCUCGGCGGUGAAGAUGAGCCCGCGGCCUAUCAGCUUGUUGGUGGGGUAAUGGCCUACCAAGGCGACGACGGG